AUUGAACGCUGGCGGCAGGCCUAACACAUGCAAGUCGAGCGGAGCGGCGGACGGGUGAGUAAUGCCUAGGAAUCUGCCUGGUAGUGGGGGAUAACGUCCGGAAACGGGCGCUAAUACCGCAUACUAUCAGAUGAGCCUAGGUCGGAUUAGCUAGUUGGUGGGGUAAAGGCCUACCAAGGCGACGAUCCGUAACUGGUCUGAGAGGAUGAUCAGUCAAACUGGAAAGGAGACACGGUCCAGACGCCUACGGGAGGCAGAAUUGGGGAAUAUUGGACAAUGGGCGAAAGCUUGAUCCGGCCAUGCCGCGGGUGUGAAGAAGGUCUUCGGAUUUGAAAGCACUUUAAGUGGGGAGGCGGUACCAACAGAAUAGGCACCGGCUAACUUCGUGCCAGCGGCCGCGGUAAUUC
rnacentral:rRNA from 1 species